AUGGGAGCUUUCCCUUCACCGCCCCCAUGGGGGUGGUCCACAGGGUUCAUAACUACCCCUCUUACUACGGGGCGUUUACCUAGCCAACACUUAGAUCCGGCUCUACCCAAAUUUUGGUUCACCCCAACAUUACCCACUUGUCGGACUGUUGCUAAGCAGUUUUGGGAUACUAAAUGGACCUCCCGAGAUGGUAAUCUUAAAGUGGCCGAUUUACCCUCUUUUGCAAUGAGUUUCGCUAUAGCACCUGCUGCUCUAGCUAAUUGCCCACCCCUUCUACGUGUGAUUUCUAUGUUAUGCAUGGCCGUGCCUAAGGGCAUAUCGGUUGAAGUAGAUUCUUCUUUUCUCUCAAAAAACCCCUUCCCAAACUGUACAAGCUUCUUCCAAAGCAUACGGCUCUCUGGACAGAUGGAUCUUAUAUGA
rnacentral:rRNA from 1 species